rnacentral:rRNA from 1 species
GACGAACGCUGGCGGCGUGCUUAACACAUGCAAGUCGAACGGUAAGGCCCUUCGGGGUACACGAGUGGCGAACGGGUGAGUAACACGUGGGUGAUCUGCCCUGCACUUCGGGAUAAGCCUGGGAAACUGGGUCUAAUACCGGAUAGGACCCUGGGAUGCAUGUCCUGGGGUGGAAAGCUUUUGCGGUGUGGGAUGGGCCCGCGGCCGAUCAGCUUGUUGGUGGGGUGAUGGCCUACCAAGGCGACGACGGGUAGCCGGCCUGAGAGGGUGACCGGCCACACGGGGACUGAAAUACGGCCCAGACUCCUACGGGAGGCAGCGGUGGGGAAUAUUGCACAAUGGGCGCAAGCCUGAUGCAGCGACGCCGCGUGAGGGAUGACGGCCUUCGGGUUGUAAACCUCUUUCAGCACCGACGAAGCGCAAGUGACGGUAGGUGCAGAAGAAGGACCGGCCAACUACGUGCCAGCCGCCGCCGUAA